GCGACAUCAGCUUACAACAUACCAAUCUCAGUGCAACAGAUAAACCACAAAUCCACUCCCAAGGCAUCUCAAAGCAAGCCCCAAACGAUAUCGAUAAAUCUUCACGACGAAUAGGAAAGAAGUUUGCAUUAUCAAGAACUGCCGAACCGGGGGUACUUGCAGAUUGUUUUGUUUGUGAUUUGUUAGUUUUAGGGAAUUCUUUUCGAAAAACCGAAGAAGA